rnacentral:rRNA from 1 species
GUGGAUUAGAUACCCUGGUAGUCCACGCCCUAAACGAUGUCAACUAGGUGUUGGGGAAGGAGACUUCUUUAGUACCGCAGCUAACGCGUGAAGUUGACCGCCUGGGGAGUACGGUCGCAAGAUUAAAACUCAAAGGAAUUGACGGGGACCCGCACAAGCGGUGGAUUAUGUGGAUUAAUUCGAUGCAACGCGAAAAACCUUACCUACCCUUGACAUGUCAGGAAGUUUCCAGAGAUGGGAAUGUGCCCGAAAGGGAGCCUGAACACAGGUGCUGCAUGGUUGUCGCCAACU